UUAGAGCUAGAAGGUGGGGUGCAAAGAAAUGGCUCUUGGUUAGAACUGGGAGCUUGUGCUCUCUGUAAUCUCCUGCUGACACACUGGGAAAAUAAAAAUUACACAUUAAAAUGAACACGGGAAUAGGGCAGGAUCUACGUAGAAGGGAAAUAAGUGUAUCAAAGGAAUCACUGGUGUCACCUUGGUCUGGGAAGUUUUGGGGCUGAGUAGCAGAAAAGGACAGGAAGCAGUUGCCCAAUGGAGAAACAAAGCUUGUUUAGAUUGCUUAGCUUUUAUGGCAUUUGCUGACAAAACAGACGUGCAGCUGACUGUGCUCUUGAGAGAUGGGGCGGAAUGGAGAAAAGUAACAGCAGAAAUGUUAGGAAUGGAAGUUAAAGGUUGAGAAUUCAAGAGGACUGCAGAUUCACAGGAGUUCCCACAAUACAUAUAACAGAGAGAAAGAAUGAAGCAGCAGCAACAGAGGAUUAAAGAAGCUUCUAAAUUGAUCUCAAAAUAAGUCGAAUCAAUCCAUCAGUUGUAUUGCCUGCAGGCAUCUUUAAAAUCUGAAAGGUACCCAACAUGUUUUUUUGCCAAGAAACAUGUAUAGCCAUUCACUGUUGAAGUUUUAGCGCUGAUAAAAAAUGUUACAAAUUCCUAUUUGCCCAUACCAUGGCUAGGAAGCUGACAGACUUUUAAUUCUUAUACCUUCGUUCACAGAAUUUUAUAACUGUUCCAGCACAGAUUUUAGCUAUUGGUCUCAUUUUAUUAACUAAUUAAGUAUGAAAAU
rnacentral:lncRNA from 7 species